rnacentral:lncRNA from 1 species
UCUUGGGAAUAACGCAUCAUAUUAUGUUUUUGGUAUUUGUUUCAUUUCUGCUACUAGCCAGUGGAGAGUAGUGCUAUUACCAGUGGAGAUUGCUGUGGUAUAGUGUUAUUAUGCAAUAAGUGUAGUGUCCGGUAAGGACCAGAGUACAGUGGUACUUUAACCACUGGAGAUUACUAUGGCUUAUAGUCAUUACCUUAUAAGCAGAAGCUCUAUUACGGGCCAGAGAAGAGUGGUGCUAUUACCACUGCGGAUUACUGUAUUACAAUAUGUUAUUGGUAUUGGUUAUAUUUCUGCUACAGGUCAGAGGAGAGUAGUGCUGUCACCACUGGGGUAUUACUGUGGUAUAUUAUUAUUUUGUUAUACGUAUAGUCCUUGUUAUGGGCAGAGAAGAGUGGUGCCAUCACCACCGAGGAUUUCUGUGGUAUAUUGUUAUUAUAUUUUUAGUAUAGUGUCUGGUAUGGUAUAGUGGGGAGUGGUGCUGUAAAUACUAGGGAUUACAGUGGUUUUUGUUGUCAUAAGUAUAGUCUCUUGUACUGGCCAGAGUAGAGUGGAGCUAUCACCACUGGGGAUUACUGUGGUUUAUUGUUAUUAUGUUAUUAGUAUAGUCUCUGGUACGGUCCAGAGUAGAGUGGUGCUAUCACCACUGGGGAUUACUAUAUUAUAUUAAAUUAUUGGUAUUGGUUUAAUUUCCCCUACGGGACAGAGGAGAGUAGUGCUAUCACCACUUGGGAUUACUGUGGUAUAUUGUUAUUAUGUUAUAAGUAUAGUAUUUGGUACGUGCCAGUGUAGAGUGGUCCAUCACCACUUGGGAUUACUGUGGUUUAUUGUUAUUAUAUUGUAGUAUAGUCUCUUGUGCGGUACAGAGGAGAGUGGUGCUAUCACCACUAGGCAUUACAGUGGUUUAUUGUUAUUAUGUUAUAAGUAUAGUCUCGGGUACGGGCCAGAGUAGAGUGGUGCUAUCAGCACUGGGGAUUACUGUGGUACAUUGAUAUUAUGUUAUAUGUAUAGUAUCCGUUACGGUACAGAGGAGAGUUGUGCUGCCGCCAUUGGGGAUUACUGUGGUUCAUUGGUAUUAUGUUAUUGGUAUUGUUUAGUCUCUGCCAUUGGGCAGAGAAGAGUGGUGCUAUCACCACUGUGAAUUACUGUGGUACAUUCUUAUUCUGUUAUUCUGUUAUAUGUAAAGUCUUUGGUACCGGUCAGAGGUGAGUGGUGUUAUCAUUACUGUGUAUUACUGUUUUAUAUUAUGUUAUUAGUAUUUAGUCUUUGCUAAGGCGCACAGGGGUUUACUAUAUUAUUUUAUAAUUGGUUUUGGUAUUGGUUUAAUUUCUGCUAUGGGACAGAUGAGAGUGGAACUAUCACCACCGGGGAUUACUGUGGUAUAUUGAUAUUAUGUUAUUAGUAUAGUGUCUGGUAUGGUACAGAGGAGAGUGGUUCUACCACCGUUGGGGAUUACUGUGGUUUUUUAUUAUGUUAUUUGUAUUGUUUUAGUCUCCGCUAUUGGGCAGAGGAGAGUGGUGCUAUUAUCACUGGGGAUUACUGUGGUAUAUUGUUAUUAUGUUAUAAGUAUAGUGUCUGGUAUAGGCAAGAGUAGAGUAGCGCUAUCACCACUGAGGAUUACUCUUGUAUAUUAUUAUUAUGUUAUUCGUAUAGUCGCUGAUACGGUAUAGAGGAGAGAGGUGCUAUCACCACCUGAGAUUACUGUAUUAAACUGAUAUUACGCUAUUGGUAUUGGUAUAGUCACUGGCCAUGUUAAAAUAAACUGGUAAAGUUUGUGUAUGAUGGAAGCAGAAUGAUUUUUGCUGUAUAGAUCUACGGUUCUGAAACCAACAAUAACUGUAAAUAUGUUAUAUCGCAUUGUUGACAUUUAUACUAAAGGUGGUGACAGCUGAAAUCUUAAAGAUAUGAGAAUUUGUACUACGUGUAUUCUUGGGUUUUCAUGGUUUUUACGUUUCAGUGAACUUAGUUCUUUGCAAAUGAAAGAUAUUACUUUUCACGAAAAUCAUAUGACUAUCAGUAUCAGAAAGGGUAAAACUGAUCAAUUAAGUAAGUGCUUUAAAAUAUGUAUUGCUAGAACGAGAAAUAAGCCGUGUCCGGUGUCUUGGGUAGAAAAAUAUAUUGCUACCGCAGGUCUCACUCUCUUUCCAUCAGAUUACAUUUUCACUAGAAAGGUUGAACAAAUACGUUUUGGAUAAUACGAUCAUUCCUUUGGUUGUUACAUUCAAGAACGCGAGAAACUUUUCUGCAAGCUAUGGUGGUUAUCGGAGAAAAGGAGCUUUUUGGUUUACAUAGUUUACCAGAGGAGGUGUUUCUGUCGCGGUAAACAACGGGGGUAUUUCUGAUAGUAGGUUACGUAAUAAUCGCGGAAGAUGGAAGUCCGUUAAUACGUCAGAUAGAUAUCUUGAUUAUAGUUUGGAAAACAAGUUGCAGCUUUCUAAACUUCUAGGAAUGUAUAGAUGUUGAUAUACAUUUAAUAUGAAUGGAUUUCCAGAGACGAUUUGUAAUUGAUCAUGGUUAAUAGAUUUUAUUUCACAAAGGGUUCGUUUUCCUUAGACAAUGUAAUGUACAGAUAAGAUAUAAGGUCUGAUUAUCUCGCUUUUACAAUACGAUGAAAUCUUACAUGAUUACAAAUAUCAUCAACUAUUGUUUUCUUUUUUUGAUAUACUUAGCAUUUUUGUUGCUUCGAGAUAGUAGCCAGUCUAUCCUACUUGUACAACAUACUUGUUGUCGUUGGUGUUGUUUAGCAAGGAGGUAUGCUUAGAAAAGAAAUAUUUUAUUUUUCGGACGAACGCAGUUAGGGAGAAAAUAAUGAGUUAUAGUGUGAUCGGCUAAAUUUCUUGAACUUUUCUAUUUUCGUCAGAUUUGUUUUUAGUUUCAGACUAUUAAAAUGUUGGUUACACGUAAACAUUGCUGAAUAUAUAAUUUCAACUGAACAUUGGAAUGUUUUAACGUUAUUGAAAUCUGUCUUACUUUUAGGGAUGAUAAACAACAAUCAAUAUUCAUCAAGAGUGUUAGUUUCUCGAAAAGUGGUUUUGUUUUUGGAAGAAAAUGGUAUCUGUGUUAGAGUAUACAUCAAAAUAUUCAGACUGGAUUUAACUUUCAACACCGUUUGGAAUAUACGUAGAUAUAGUGAAGGAGUAUAAUUAAACGUGAUAUAAGAUCUGGCAUGCACAUAGAUAUGAUUGGAAGAAACAUAAUAAGUGGUAUUGCAAUUAUGUUUGCAUGAGUGGAACACUAUGAUGCUGUGACGCUGUUGAAGUCUUCUAACGGUGAAAAACAACAAUCAAUUGUUUCGUUUUUAUCAGAGUCUGAAAUUUCGCGGAGAAGUGGUUGUGUUUUUGGAAUUAAGUAUUUCGUGUUUAGAAUCGGAGUUUUUUCAAUACAAUUUGGAGAUUAGGUAGAGUGAAGGAAUGUGAUUGUAUGUGAUAUUCAAAUCGGACCUCAAUUUUAAUAUAAUCUGGAAUACACGUACAUAUAGAGGAGGAAUACAGUUACUUAUGAGAACGUUUUAUUGCGAUUCAGAUUGGAGGGAUUUAAUUUUCAACGAAUGAUUAUCGUUAUUCAGUGAUACUCAAAUUAGAUGUAGGAAUACAUAUAGAUAUAGUGCAAGAAUAUUAUUGUUGAAUCACAAUGGAAGUACAGCCAGUGACAACACAAGUCGUUUCAAACAUGGCAGAAGAAAGAUGCAAACAGUGCAAACAGUAUUGAAAUAAUUUGUACUAGAAUGAGACCUUAGAAAGCUUUAAAGCUAUUGAAGCGUUUUUUUUCAAAGGCGGAGAACAACAAUCAGUAUACAAGACAUCUUUCUCAAAUGGCUAUUAAAAAAGUUUACUACAAUCUGUUUCACCUGGCAAUUAUUUGAUAUUGAUCAGAAUUGAAAAUAUCGCGAGGAAGUGGUUGUGGUUUGGGUAUGAAAUAUUAUAUGCUUAGACUAUAUACUCAAACAGGACUAAAUCUUUGAUACAAUUCGGAAUAUACACAUAGAGAAGUAGUAUAAUUAUUUGUGAGAAGGUUUUAUUUUAAUAAUUGAUAUGCAUUCAAACUGGAUUUUUAUUUUUUUUAACGGUGUAUGGAAUAUACACAUAUCUAGGGGAGCAAUAUGGAUAUGUGCGAGUAAGUUUUAUUAUGAUUAUUUUUGUGUAUUCAAAUUGGAUCUUAUUUUCAAUACAAUGUAACUAUUUAUGAUAUUCAGGCCGGAUUUAAUUUUCAACACAAUUUGGAAUAUACAAUAACAAAGUGAAGGAAUAUAAUUAUUGGUGAUUACGUUUAAUUGUGAUCAUUAAAAUUCAAAUCGGAUAGAAUUUGUAAUUAUUGGUGAUAUUCUCAUUGGAUUUAAUUUUCAGUACAAUUCGGAUUCUAUACAUAUAGUGAAGGUAUAUUAUUACUGAUGAUGUCAAUGUGUGCAUAGCUGUAGUAAAGGAAUAUAAUCAGCGAUUGUAUGACAAUGGAAGUACAGCCAAGGAAAACACGAGUCGUCUCCACAUAGCGGAUAAAAAGAUGAAAGCAGUGUCUGUAAGUUAAGGUAUUGUAAAAAUAUCUACUAGAACGGAAACUUGGAAAGCUUUAAAGAUAUUGAAGUGUUUCUUUUUUAUUGAAGGUGGAGAACAACAAUCAGUUUGCACGACAUCUUUCUCAAUGGCUAUUAAAAAGGUUUACAAUAAUCUGUUUCACCUGGCAAUUAUUUGCUAUUGACCAGAAUUGAAAAUAUCGCGAAGAAGUGGCUGUGAUUUUGAUAUGAAAUAUUACAUGAUUGUGCUAUAUACUCAAACAGGGUUAAAUGUUCAAUACUAUUUGGAAUAUACAUAAAUAAAGAGAAGAAAUAUAAUUAUUUGUGGGAAAGUUUUAUUAUAAUUAUUUUUGUUUAAUAAAAUUAGAUUUAAUUGUUCAACGCAGUUUGAAAUGUUCAUAGACAAAGUGAAGGAAUUUGACUAUUUGUGAUAUUCAGGUGGAUUUAAUUUUCAACACAAUUUGGAAUAUAUACAAAGAAAAAGCGAAGGAAUAUAAUUAUUGGUAAUUAGGUUUUGUUAUUAUCAUUUAAAUUCAAAUCGGAUUGAAUUUUCAAUACUAUUUUGAAUAUACACAUACAUUUCAAAGAAAUGUAAUUAUUGGAGAUAAUCUAAUCGGAUUAUAUUUUCAAUACAGUUUGGAAUAUUCACAAGUUGGAUUGUGCAGAGCUUUAGAGAGAAAAUAUAAGUAUCGGUAAGUGUUAUUCUAAUCAUUGAUAUAUAUUAAAAUCUGGUUUAAUUCUCCAAACUUUAGGAAUAAACAUUGAUAAAAUCAAAGAAUAUAAUUAUUAAUGACCAUUAGUUCUAAUCAUUAAAUAAAAUAUAUCAAAAUGUACUAUUAUUUGUCGAGUUAAUAGAAUUUUCGAUCAAACAGGCAAAAGUAUUUAUAGCGUUAGGAACAAUCACAUAUUAACGGUUUAAAAUACAUGUUUGUUCGACCAAAUCAUCUGCCAAGAUUGUAAGGCAUUUUGUUCUGAAUUAUAAAGGAGUACGAAUGAUUCUAUCAUUUAACUUUGUUUUCACAUUUAUAAGUAUAAAAAGAUAGAACAUUGAAGCGGUUUAAUUUUUGCUGUAAAAUAUUUCAUAAUCAAAAAUAGUUUUUCACAUAUCAAGAUUUUGGUUUUUGUCGUUAUUAAAUGUUUCUGCUUUCAUCUAAUUGCAUGUUUUGGAUGCCGAUUUCUCUAUAGGGUUUGGAUUUGGAUUAGUAUUUAAAUGUCCAAGCCACUUUUGAAAUCAGAAGCCAAGUUUUUGCAAAAAAAUAAUUUAAGGACUGUUCGAAACUCUUUGUAUGAGUACCGAGUCCGUCUUUUCUCAAAGAAGUAAGUUUAGCACAUAAAAUAAACAACUAACCAACUAAAAAUAAAUGAUCAACUAAACGUUUUUCUUUCAUUCAAAGGCAUAGCCAAAAUAUUUGUAUAUUUAAUUAUAUAUGGAAAGACCGUCAAGAAUUUAGAUUUUGAUAUAUAUUACGUACCGGUAUCUUAAAUUUUACAAAAUACAAUUGUCAGAAGAAUCAAAUCAAUUUAUAUUUCAGAAUGUGCUUAUUAUAAUGGAAAAGUACGAAAGAGUAUACUGACCCCCAGUGUACUUUCGUUGUAGAUAAAUUCGUUAACACUUAAAUAUCAUAUUUAUGUAUUUCUAAGAGUUUAUAUAUAUAUUAUUUUAUUACAUGUUUAUAUUUCUUUGUAGUUAUAUAAAUUAUUAAAAAAAAUGUCAGUUUUUUAGAGAAACGAUUCACAUAACAAGUUUAAUUUUAUGAGAAUAUUUUUAUUGCAGAAUAAAUUUUAAGGUAUUUUCUAUAAUAUAAAAUAUUUAAAAUCCAUUUCAGAAGGGUUUAUUUAUGUCUUGGUAAAAGUGCGCAUUACUUUGCUGUAAAUUUUUAUCCGAUCUACUCACUUUUUCUAAGGGGCCAAGAUCUUAUGCCGACCAAGUGAAUUUUGAUGUAAGUCAAUUGAUAACUGACUGUGCUACUUUGCAAACAAACUUAAAAUUAGCUAUUUUCUCAAUAUCAAAUACAUAUAACAGUUUCUGAAAGGAGCCAAUAUCUUUUGCCAAUCUUAGACGUGACAAAGUUUUAUAUAAAUUAAAUAAUGAACCUGCUGCAGUGUCCACACAAGCUUGAAAUAAUCCAUUUUUGUAAUUUCAUUGGCAACAAGUAAUUUUGCUGAAAUCGGGUACCCCGUGGAAAGAUUUUAUUUUUUGAAUGCCUUCUUAGUCAGCAAAGCAUAUAAAAUGUGAACUUGGCCUCUACUGAACAAGACUUAAGAAUAUAUGGUUUUAAAAUGGGAGUUACAUUAUAUGAAUGCCUUCCAUUAAUUUAAAACAAUAGCUUGUUCAGUUUUCAUUCAGAAAAUUUAGAGAUUUUGCAAGACAGUGUGAUUAUAAACUAUAAAGAAAUGAUCAGUUAUAUGUUUUAUAUAUUUUUUUAUGUAAAUGCAUAGCCAAGACAUUAUUAUAUUUAAUUAUAUAUGAAAAGACCUACUAGGAUUCAGAUGGUUGAUAUAAAUCAGGUAACGUAACCUUCAAUUUUACAAAAUGCAAUUGCCAGAAAAAUCAAACCAAUUUAUAUUUCAGAAUGUUACAGGUAACACUUUAAUAUAUAUACUGGUAUUUUAUGGCAACUCCGCGCGACCCCGAGUCUUUAAUAAACAAUCAACCGGUAAUUUCGAGUGCCGCGAGAUGAUUUCAGAAAACUCCAAGGCAGUAUUUUCUUGUGUGUGUGUGUUCGGGUUUAACGUCUUUUUCAACAAUUUUUCAGUCAUAUAAACGACGGUGUCUAUUUGUAGCAGUGAGCACAAUGCCCAACGUGACAUGAUACCCCACCAAGUCA